CCCAGAUGCUCGUCCCCUCCCAGGCUCUCCUCAAUCUUUAAAAAAUAUAAGAUUGAGGAGAGCCUGGGAGGGGACGAGCAUCUGG
rnacentral:miRNA from 1 species